rnacentral:tRNA from 1 species
GGUUGUGGUUCAGCGGUAGAGCGCUUGCCUAGCAUGUGCAAGGCCCUGGGUUGGAUCCUCAGCGCCA